rnacentral:rRNA from 1 species
GUGAGGAAUAUUGGUCAAUGGGCGAGAGCCUGAACCAGCCAAGUCGCGUGAAGGAUGAAGGUUUUAUGAAUUGUAAACUUCUUUUGCAGGGGAAUAAAGUACGGUACGUGUACCGUUUUGUAUGUACUCUGCGAAUAAGGAUCGGCUAACUCCGUGCCAGCAGCCGCGGUAAUACGGAGGAUCCAAGCGUUAUCCGGAUUUAUUGGGUUUAAAGGGUGCGCAGGCGGGUUGAUAAGUCAGCGGUGAAAGUUUGCAGCUUAACUGUAAAAUUGCCGUUGAAACUGUCGAUCUUGAGUGCAAAUGAGGUAAGCGGAAUGUGUUGUGUAGCGGUGAAAUGCUUAGAUAUCACACAGAACACCGAUUGCGUAGGCAGCUUACUGGAGCGCAACUGACGCUGAGGCACGAAAGCGUGGGGAUCGAACAGGAUUAGAAACCCGAGUAGUCC